UACGUAGGGGCGAAGCGUUGUCCGGAAUUACUGGGCGGUAAAGACGCAUGUAGGCGGGAGGGUGUGUCGAACGUGAAAGGCUGCGGCUCAACCGCAGAGCGCCGUUCGAAACUGCCCUUCUUGAGGGCCGAAGAGGAGAGUGGAAUUCCCGGUGUAGCGGUGAAAUGCGCAGAUAUCGGGAAGAACACCCAUGGCGAAGGCAGCUCUCUGGGACGGUACUGACGCUGAGACGCG
rnacentral:rRNA from 1 species